rnacentral:rRNA from 1 species
AUUGAACGCUGGCGGCAUGCCUUACACAUGCAAGUCGAACGGCAGCACGGGUCCUUGCACCUGGUGGCGAGUGGCGAACGGGUGAGUAAUACAUCGGAACGUACCUUAUCAUGGGGGAUAACGCAGCGAAAGCUGUGCUAAUACCGCGUACGCCCUGAGGGGGAAAGCGGGGGAUCGAAAGACCUCGCGCGAUUAGAGCGGCCGAUGCCUGAUUAGCUUGGUGGUGGGGUAAAAGCCCACCAAGGCGACGAUCAGUAGCUGGUCUGAGAGGACGAUCAGCCACACUGGGACUGAGACACGGCCCAGACUCCUACGGGAUGCAGCAGUGGGGAAUUUUGGACAAUGGGGGCAACCCUGAUCCAGCAAUGCCGCGUGAGUGAAGAAGGCCUUCGGGUUGUAAAGCUCUUUUGUCAGGGAAGAAACACCGGCUCUAACACAGUCCGGGAAUGACGGUACCUGAAGAAUAAGCACCGGCUAACUACGUGCCAGCAGCCGCCGUAA